UUUGGGAUCAAAGCGCGUGCUUCUUCUUUUCCCCCUUUGCCCUCUCUUUUUGCGUCUCCGUCUCUUCGUCUCUGUUGGAGUUAAGAAGAGCAUUGCAAAAAUGUCCUCGCGCGUGCAAUCUCGAGUGCACGAAGGUCGCCGUUUUCAAGAUACCAUGGCGCAUCGCCGCGAUGUGAUCCGACGCGAUGCAACGCGAUACAACGCGAUGCGAUACGUUUCUCGUUGCACUAUCGUAGUCAGCAAUUGACUUACAAGAGCUCGCGUUGCGCACCGGUUAUUAAUAAUUCGUUACCAGGAAACGUUCAGCUCCCGCAACGCGUAUAUGCGAGUAGAAUCAAUUUGAUAUAGUCAAGCGAUAUCAUUGAAAAAGCUGCAAUGUAUCGCUUGGUACUUACAUAUCAUCAAGACCCGUAUAUAUCUCGAUCGACUGGAAUUGUUUUACACGAAAGGACGGAAUCUAGACGCAACCAAUCCCAAAAGAGUCCGAGGAAGAGUCCGAUCUGGACUCAUCAUCAGUGAAGAUUCUGAUCUUAUUCAAGACAAGGCUUUAAAAGUCGUAAAAUUAAAAAGCUCAAUUAGGAUUGGACAACACGUCUUAUUGAGCAAUUGUUGUAACAACUAAUAACGCUAGCUCGGCGAGCAAGUUGUUUUUCUUGUGAUAAAUGCGGCUGCUGUAGCAAAAAUUUAACACGUGCUUGGAUGCACCCAGUUUUGCGCCAUGAUAUAUAUGCAUAUGCAAGGUCGCCGUGGCUGAUCAACGUGAACAUUUGCUACUGUGGAAGUAAAAGUAAAGCCCGAUUUAAGUAAGUAAGGAUAGCAUUAUAAUUAUAUACAUAUAA